rnacentral:rRNA from 1 species
AUGGCUGCCAUCUUGCCUGUUAGUGAUAACAGUGAAGACUUUGCUGUCAUUUUCCCACAUGUUGAAUAUUUCAGACUUGAGUCUCGCAAACAUUACACACUCCACAUAUAUCGAUCCGACACGAAUGAUUGGCACUCUCAGGUCGCUUGUAUCGCUGAGGAUAAUGAGACAAGGAAUGCUAGGGGUAAGCUAUUGCUUCAUAAUGCCAUGAGCGUGGCAUAUGCAGAAAAGGGUAUCAUAGGUUGGAUUGAUCUCUGGUGGGGAAUUCUCUUAUGCAAUGUUUUGGAUAAAAAGCCUACCAUCCGUUUUGUUUCGUUGCCAGUUCCAGAACCGUGUGAUACGUCUGAGUUCCAUUUGAUGUUCGAGAAUCUCACUCCAAGACCACACCGUCAUGUGACGAUGUUCAAUGAUUUGAUCAAGUGUGUUGAGUUAGAUUUUCAUGUGCAAAGUGCUUUCUGCAACAUGAAGCGAGCAAAGGAUUAUGGCUGGAUGGCUAAAACAUGGACUAGAUCAACUUAUUCAGAUGUUUGGUGUGAUGGCUUGACGAUUGAUACGUCUGAGAUAUCUUUCACCGACUCAAGUUUGCCAAAUUUGUUGCCUUUGAUGUUUGAUGAGGAAAACAAUUUGACUUGGAAGAAAUUGACUAGUGCUGGUCCUACAUUAAGCUUGUUUGAUGACAAUGUUAUUUACAUUAUGGCGAAGGAGAGCAUGUGCCAUCCGACAGCAUAUGUACUUACUGUGGACACCAAAAGUUUGAAGCUCGAGUCUGGUGCGCAGUGUGCUCCUCAAAUGACGGCGUGGUUUGAACCAACAUAUGAACCGUGUGUUCUUUUUAGCUCUUUUGGCACGACUUCAGAGUUGGUUAAAGAAUUUGAAACCAAAGGGACAAUAUUUGAAAUCAAGGAAGGGCCGGUGCUCUCGGUGCUGUCGAAGCGUCUCCGUGUGCUGCGGAAGAAGCAGAAUCGCAUCGCGCAGAUGGAGGAGUCCGUCGCUGCCGGCAAGAUGCUUAACCAGGAGCAGAAGGAGCUCAUGCACUCCAAGCCCGUCAUCGCCGCGCUCAUUGACGAGCUUGAGCGCCUCCGCAUACCACUCUCCACCGCUCUCACCAAGGAGCUCUCCACUGUCCCUGCACCUGCUGCCGGUUCCUCAUCCUUUGGCUCCGAUUUGUCCAUCCAGGACCUCCUUGCGCUCAUCUACUUCGGCUCCCUUUUUUAUGUCAAGUCACCGAACGAGUUCAUCGCCACCAUGGUUGCGCGCAAGCACGAACGGAGCAGCUGCAUCACCCACGGCUACGUAUGGGAUGAUACCGUGGACCUGCUCGUGGAGAACGACCUUGACGCAGUGUCUGCUGUGGCGGCCCUUGCCGCGGCUUGCCCUUCUUCCGCAGAUCGUGUCUCCCACCACGACGCACUCCAGGCCUGUGCCCAUCAUGCCCGCCUAUGGCUAACCCGUGCUGAUGCACCGAUCCACCCUGGCUCUGUUACAUAUGCUGCGGUGAGGUCCAAGUUAGACAGGAUCAUGGCAUCAGACUACUACACAGCACCUGCAGUUGCUAGGAACCAUGGAGCUGAAGGUCUGCAGGCACAGAUGAGCAUGACCGACUCACCAGAGGCACCAUCACUCAAGGAGAUCCUAGCUGCUGAAAAUCACAAGGAGGACGAGGAAGAUUCCUCGCAUGCCACAGAAAUCGACAAUGAUCAUCAGUCUAAUGCAGCAGAUUUGCAAAAUGUGGAUGGUAAAACCCUGGUGAACCCUCAUGUGGAAUAUCGCGUGGCUGAGGCAGAGCAGGAGAAAUUUGAUGUGAAAGAACAAGAUCAGAUGUAUGCCGAGCCAAAAAAGCGACAGUUUCAGCACCCUCGGCAAUCUUAUCAGAACCAGCGAGGUGGUGAUCGUGGCAGGAGGGGGGCCUACCCUAAUGGCCGCAGCGGGCAUGGAGGCGGCCGUGGCAUGGGCAGUGUUUACGAGAAUGGGCAUGGAGGUGGUGGUGGUGGAUACCAAGGAGGCGGUGGUGAGUACCAGAAUGGCCGGGGUGGUGGUGGCGAGUACCAGAAUGGCCGGGGUGGUGGUGGCAGCGGCGGGUACCAGAAUAGCCGGGGUGGUGGUGGUGGCAGCGGGUAUUACAACAACAACGAUGGGUACUACCAGCCGAGGAACUUUAACAACAGGGGCAGGGGCGCAGGGAGGUGGCCACGCGGACACCAAGAGGAUUGA